CGGUUGAUCCUGCCGGAGGUCACUGCUAUUGGGAUUCGACUAAGCCAUGCGAGUCGAGAGGGUUCGGCCCUCGGCUGACGGCUCAGUAACACGUGGAUAAUCUGCCNUUAGGUGGAGGAUAAUCUCGGGAAACUGAGGAUAAUACUCCAUAGAUCUAGGAUGCUGGAAUGCAUCUAGAUUGAAAGCUCCGGCGCCUAAGGAUGAGUCUGCGGACUAUCAGGUUGUAGUCAGGGUAAAGACCUGACUAGCCUACGACGGAUACGGGUUGUGAGAGCAAUAACCCGGAGACGAUAUCUGAGACACGAUAUCGGGCCCUACGGGGCGCAGCAGGCGCGAAAACUUCACACUGUGCGAAAGCGCGAUGAGGGAAUCCCAAGUGUUUGCUCGUAAGAGUAAACUGUUUCUUUGUUUAAAACGCAGAGAGAGUAAGGGCUGGGUAAGACGGGUGCCAGCCGCCGCGGUAAUACCUGCAGCUCGAGUGGUGAUCAUUAUUAUUGGGCCUAAAACGUCCGUAGCCGGUUUAGUAAAUGCCUGGGUAAAUCGUGUAGCUUAACUAUACGACUUCCGGGUAGACUGCUAAACUUGAGACCGGGAGAGGCUAGAGGUACUCCUGGGGUAGAGGUGAAAUUCUGUAAUCCUAGGGGGACCACCAGUGGCGAAGGCGUCUAGCUAGAACGGGUCUGACGGUGAGGGACGAAGCCCUGGGGCACAAACCGGAUUAGAUACCCGGGUAGUCCAGGGUGUAAACGCUGCUUGCUUGAUGUUAGUUGGGCUCCGAGCCCAACUAGUGUCGGAGAGAAGUUGUUAAGCAAGCUGCCUGGGAAGUACGGUCGCAAGGCUGAAACUUAAAGGAAUUGGCGGGGGAGCAC
rnacentral:rRNA from 1 species